GCCGCCGGCCGCCGGCCGGCGUCCCUGGCGGAAUCCCGGCUGCGCAGCGCAGUUGCCCGGCCGGGCUGCCCCAGCCCGGCGGAGGUCUUCUGCGAGGCCCGCGGAGGAGACACUGUUGAGCAGCUACACGCCCGGUCUGUAUCAGGGCGCGCCGCCCCGCCCCGGCGGUGUGUAACGCGAUCCUGUCGGUCCCAGUCCUUGGCGUCUGUAAGUGUUCGGGGAGGGAUCUUUUAAAGCCCUGCACCGCCCUCCUGAGGCAGCGCAGAGGCCCUCCGACGCCGGCAUUAUGAAGGCCGCGGAGUUUUCCUCGAGGGCAGCGUGUCCUCCUGAAGGGGCUGGAGCGAGGGCGCGAAGCAGAGCUGCGGCUGUCGCUUUGCGGUGCCGGUAGGACGUCGAGCGCCAGAACCGCGGACGGGGCGCCGAAUCACAACGCAGAUUUCCUCGUAUCCGGGACACAGUUAUGCCCCAUUCCCUAACUCCGAAGUAAAGUAGAAAGAGGGUUGUCGCCUGGGGCUGCCCCCUGGCCCUUGCAGCCAUGAAGGCAGAGGCACCGUCCUCGUUAAAGGAGACCCCGGGUUUGUCCAGCUGUGGCCUCAUUAACCUGCUCAGUCGCCGGAAGCUAAUGGCUGUGGGGUUUGUGCUCAGCUGGCUCAUGGUCGUCUACUUUCUGGUCAGUGUGUGGCUUCUCUGCCUUUUGUCCGCGUUGCUGGUGGUGCUGGGAGGAUGGCUGGGUUCAGACGCCAUUGUGGGAGCUACAGGUCGACUGCACCUGGAGCGCUUCAUCCCAAUGGCCAUCUGUCCUCCAGACCCCGAAGCCGAGCGACAGCUUGAACAGGAGAUCAAUCGCACCAUCCAUCUGGUUAUUCGGGACUUUGUGUCAUCCUGGUAUCGCUCAGUGAGCCAGGAGCCAGCCUUCGAGGAAGAGAUGGAGGCGGCCAUGAGAGGGUUGGCCCAUGAGCUGCGGAGGAGGAUGGGCAUGGUGGACAGGCAUGCUCUUGCCCAGAGGGUUCUGACUCUCUGUGGCUGUCACCUGCAGAGCUAUAUUCAGGCAAAGGAGGCCACAGCGGGGAAGCGGAGUGGUACAGUGGAGCCCUCCCAACUCUGGGAGGCUUACUGCCAGGCUGCUGCCCCACAUCCUGCUGUAGAAAGCCCCAGUGCUGAGGUCACCUAUACACGUGGCAUAGUGAAUUUGUUGCUUCAAGGACUAGUGCCAAAGCCCCACUUGGAGACCCGGACAGGACGCCAUGUGGUGGUCGAACUCAUUACUUGCAAUGUGGUCUUACCACUGAUCAGCAAGUUGUCAGAUCCUGACUGGAUCCACCUUGUAAUUGUGGGCAUCUUUUCCAAGGCCAGAAAUCAUCCAGCACUCAGCCCAGCCAGUGCCCCAGAGCAGCCCUCAGUGCCCACAUCUUUGCCACUGAUUGCUGAGGCACAGAGUCUGCCAGAAGUGAGAGCCCCUUCUCCAGCAGCCGCCCCAGUGCUCCUAAACUGUAAUGAGUCAGAGGGACCUUCAUGCCCCUCCCCAGACGUUGAAGAAGGCCAUGAAGCUGUAGAGGGAGAUUUGGGUGCAAUACCAGAAGAAAGAAAAGUAGGAAACAAUUCGUCUCAUUUCCUACAACCAGAUAUCCGAGGCCCUCUGUUCUUAUGUGAAGACACAGAGCUGGAGUCCCCAUUGUCUGAACUGGGCAAAGAAACCAUCAUGCUCAUGACCCCAGGCAACUUCCUCUCUGAGAGGAUCCAGGAUGCCCUGUGUGCCCUAGGGGGUUCCCAGUCUCUGGAGUGUAAAGAUGGUGAGGGAUCUGAAGGAGCGGAGGCCGAGGAAGUUCCAGGAACAGAAACAGAGACAGGCUUGUUGGUCUCCAUGCUGAAUUCUUGCCCAGAGAUCCAGAUUGAUACAGCAGACAAGGAGGUAGAGCAAGGGGAUGUUACCUCUCUUACAACAUUGCUGGCGAGCCCAGAAAGGACCUGCCCGCCACGACCCUCAUGCUUAGAGAAGGAACUUACCGAUGGUGUCAGCUCCCUAGAUCCUAGUCUGCCACAUGUUCUGCUUUCCUCAUCUCCAACUGGUCCUCUCAGCUCAGCCACCUUCAGCUUUGAGCCCCUGAGCAGUCCAGAUGGCCCAGUUGUCAUCCAGAACCUGCGCAUCACUGGCACCAUUACUGCUCGAGAGCACAGUGGCACUGGAUUCCACCCCUAUACGCUCUACACAGUGAAGUAUGAGACGGCCCUUGAUGGUGAGAACAGCAGCGGCCUGCAGCAGCUGGCCUACCACACUGUGAAUCGUCGCUACCGCGAGUUUCUGAAUCUGCAGACCCGUCUGGAGGAGAAAUCAGAUCUACGAAAGUUCAUCAAAAAUGUGAAGGGUCCUAAAAAGCUCUUUCCAGAUCUUCCAUUUGGAAACAUGGACAGUGACAGAGUAGAAGCCCGUAAGAGCCUCCUGGAAUCAUUCCUAAAGCAACUCUGUGCCAUUCCUGAAAUCGCUAACAGUGAGGAGGUACAGGAGUUCCUUGCUCUGAACACAGAUGCUCGUAUUGCCUUUGUCAAGAAACCGUUCAUGGUCUCCAGAAUAGACAAGAUGGUGGUGAGUGCUAUCGUGGACACCUUGAAGACAGCGUUUCCUCGCUCUGAACCCCAGAGCCCCACAGAGGAGCUGAGUGAGGCCGAAACAGAAAGCAAGCCUCAGACAGAAGGCAAGAAGGCUAGCAAGUCCAGACUGAGGUUCUCAUCCAGUAAAAUUGCUCCAACACUGAAUAUGACUGAAGCACAUGAGAAGAUUCUCUAUUGUCUCCAGGAAGGCAAUGUGGAGGCAGAGAUCCUAUCCAUGUCUGGGAUGGAAUCCUUCAUUGAAAAACAGACAGAGGUACUAGAAACGCAGCAAGCCGAAGCCCCAGAAAAAGGUCCUGAACAUAUCCCCAAAGAAUGUGUGGAUGGUUACUUGUCAGGUACAGCCAUGCCAGCCCAAGACCUCAGCAACAGUGAUCCAGGAACAGAGACAGAGUUAGCUGACACAGCCCUAGAUCUGCUCCUCUUGCUGCUAAUGGAACAGUGGAGAUGGCUAUGUACAGAAAACAUGCAGAGAGUUCUUCAUCUUAUCUUUGGGACCCUAAUUCAGAGGUGGCUAGAGGUCCAAGUUGCUAACCUAACCUGUCCUCAGCGCUGGGUGCAAUACCUCCGACUUCUUCAGGAGUCCAUCUGGCCUGGUGGGGCUUUGCCUAAGUAUCCGCGGCUGGUAAGGACCCAGGAGCAGAAAGUGACUGCUGAGAAACAGGCUUUGCAAAGCCUCAUGGGAGUCCUGCCAGAUAUCCUGGUAGAAAUCCUUGGGGUGAAUAAAUGCCGGCUGAGCUGGAGUCUAGUCUUGGAGUCACUACAGCAACCCCUCAUCAAUAGGCAUUUGAUUUACUGCCUUUGGGACAUCAUCCUGGAAUUCUUGGAUCUCAAUGCCUCAGUUGAGGAGCGUGCUCCAACGACCUCUGCCUCAGAUGCCCCAGGCAACCCCAAGAGGAUGGGUGUCUCCCCUUAGCCAUAGGUUAUUCACCCAUUCUAAGGGGGUUUGGAAAGGAGUUACUCUGCCACUCAGAGACCAGUCAGGAUUAAUAAGAAGUAGCCUGUGAAAGCAUGGGGAGGAUAUCCAGAUGGAGGAAACAAUGAACAAUGUGUGUAAAGACAGAGCGUAGUAGACAAAUAUUGGAUGGUUCCACUAACCUGAGGUUCCUAGAGUUGUCAAACUCAAAAACAGGUAAAAUGGUGAUUGUGGGAGGUUUGAGGGAGUAGUAGUGUAAUGGGUACAGAGUUUUGACUUUGCAAGAUGAAAAAGUUCUGGAGAUAAAACAACAGUGUGAGUAUAAGUAACACUGCUGAACUGUACAAUGGAAAAUGGUUAAGAUGGUAAAUUUUGUGUUAUGCAUACUUUACUAUAAUCAAGAAAUUUGAAAGUAAAGACAUGGAGAGCUGCAAGUGGCUGAGCACAGUAGGAACACAGCAUACAUGAAGACAGCGUGAGAGGCUGGAAAGCUGCAUGGAGUCAGAUGGGAGAGGGCCUGUCAGGCAUGGUGUGCUAAGAACCCUGGGAUUGUUUCAUCUCUACAGAGUGGAAAUCGUUGAAGAAUAUUCCUGAGGAGCAUUUUUCAUCAAGGUUGACAAUUUCUAGGAGCUUUGGGAAACGGAGCGGGGGGGGGGGUGAUCAUACAUAUAAAUAGCUCUUAGUCCUACACCUAUGGAUUUGACUGCUGUCUUAAGUCACACUCUGACCCCCUUUAAUUUCUUCAAGUCUGUUCCCACUAUUUCUUAUAUAUGAGUUGGCUUCAGGGAUCUAUAAAGUAAAAUCAAGAGAGCUGAUUGAAAUCGUAGCUCUGCCAGUUAAUCAGCUGUGAGGAUGUGGUCAGCUAACAGCUUUGUUGAGACUUAAAUUUCACUCUGAAAAAGGGAUAAAUACAUUACAACCAUUUUGAGAAUGGAAUGAGAUAAUAUAUAAGAACAAGCUUUAUAAAGUACAAGUACUGUGCUCUGGAAAUGUCAGUGACAUUAGCCCAGCCCUCUGAUGUCUGAGGGAGCAGUUGGAGAUGCCUUGAUUCAGGCACCCAUUCAGCUAAGCUGUCCUCUGGCAAGCCUCAGGUUCCGCAGCCCCCUUCAACCUGUUUAUUCUAAUCUUCCUUUGCACUGGAGCAACGUGUUUUCCCAGGGUGAGGAAAGGAAUGUUAGCCAACCCUGCUGGAUAAAAAUGGGAAAGGGAACCAAGGAAGGAAUGGUAAUUGGGGAGGAAGGGAAACCAUGAUGCUUUUGUAAUUGAAGGCCCAACUGGGCAAGCCCUGCCGUAACUUGGCUCUGUUGUUUCCUUCCCACUGGGAGUGCCAGAAAUCACAGGGCAGCAGUUGAUUGCACUGCCUUUGCGAACAAGAGAAUGAAAUCAUUGAAGGAUGAAUUUCAGCUAGCAAACCUCCAUCAAUCCUUUGUGGUAUAAAGGAUGAGAGAUGCUGCUACGCACAAAAUAGUAUUUCUUAGGAGAGAGCCAGUGAGGGAGACUGCCUCAAACAUUACUUCCAUAUCCUAAGACUUGUCUGAUAUUUUUUAUUACACAAAGACAACAGUGGCUGGCUUAAAAAACAAGACAUAAAUCCUGAAUGUGUCAAGCAAGAAACAAGUGAAAAAUCAACAGAACUUCUUCCUGCUGUGACCCAGUAGCAACAGGGCUUGAAACCGAACAACUCUGAAGUGGCGGAGGAAAUUUGGGCACCAGCAGUCACCUUGGCAAAUACACAUACACUGUGCUGUUCUCAGAUGUGUGACUCUUGCUGCCUCCCUGUCACUCCUUACCUGUCUUUGGUCUGAAAGUACAUUUGAACUCUGCUUUUUUGGAAAUGAAAGCAAGCAUGUGAUGAAACACAACACAAAUAUGUACUGACUUUGAUGUUACUUCCCCAAUAUGACAAAACCUAGUUUCUCUAUCCUGAUUUUUCAGACCUUACCUAUAGGCACUGCUGUAUAAAUCACUAGCACACUAUUUCUGGGAUGGUGGAAGAUUGGGAAGGAAAAAUUUAAAAAUAGUAUCAAGAUACAAACUUAGAAAACAUUUCUUGAAGUGACACCAUCAACUCAUUGUAACCCAAAAUAGACCUCUUUGUCACCAGUGUUUGUUUAUAAAAUGCAAGUUAAUUUUAAUAUUAGAGUGUUAGUUAAGAAUGUAAGUCUGGGGCUUAUAUAUAAAUCCACACUUUGACAUUU